ensembl:antisense Gm13205 predicted gene 13205
CCCACAGGGGUGCUGGAACAGCUACGGUCCAUGGUGGAAGACUCUGAGGACGCCGCUCCAGGGCUACAGCCUGUAUAGUCCAUGCCCUCGUCUGUCUCGGCAUCCAUUAGGCUCGGGGGACCCUGGAAGAAAGGAGAGGGGCCCUAAGUUCUGGACUGUCUCAGCCGUCUACGGAGGGCCCAGACUGGAGGUGACAGCAACCUCCAGGAACUCCAAAGGCCUCUACCACCGUGAGCACAUGACCAGGAGAGGCCUGCCCGGUAGACACCACAUCUAUCCACCCGCCCUUCCCUACCUUCCAGCUUCCGGUCCAUUCCUAGGAAAAUUCUGCCCCACAUCUGCAGGUCUAUAGAAGCUUGCCCUGCGCCUAAAUUUGCCUCUGCCUGUGGGCCUGAGGCUCUUCUCUAUAGGGUCAGAGCAGGAAGGUAUCCAAGAGGCAUCGAAAGACACCCACUGCCAAGCUCAGAAGCACCCGGAGCCUCCGUCUCUCGCACCUCACGUACCUCAGUUUUUGUAAGCAUGUGCUAAAGGCUUUACAAAGUAAAUAAAUAACUGAAAUGGC